CCCUAAUUUAGGGAGUUUUUAGGAUAUAUAACCCGGCAAAUUAAAGGAAGUUCAUGCAAUUUUUUAUUUUUCUUAAGGAGGUAUUUUUACAAGUGGUUUAUUUUUCAAAUGAACUAUUUGUAAAUUUUUGUUCAUUAAAAAGUAUACUACUGUAGUUUGCUAUACCUUGUCGAUUCUGAGCUGAUUGAUAAUUUAUGUGGUCCUAAAUUCUCAUCCGUACUGAUAUUAUGUUAAUAGUCAAAAAGGAGGUCCCAUAUGGCUAAUACUAAUUAACGCAAUGUAUAUGCCAUUUUCUUAUUCUCCAGUUCUUUGAUCUCCAAGACACAAACACAUACAAUCUUUGAUUUCUUUACAUGGCUUUUAGAGAAUCUUCAUCUUCAUCUUCUUCUUUCUUCAGUUAUGGAUUCACCUACGAUGUGUUCCUCAGCUUUAGAGGCUUAGACACUCGCUAUGGUUUUACUGGAAAUCUCUACAAAGCUCUUUAUGAUAAGGGAAUCCACACCUUUAUUGACGAUGAAGAACUUCAAAGAGGACAUGAAAUCACACCAUCACUUUUAGAGGCAAUUGAAGAGUCUAGGAUUGCCAUUAUUGUGCUCUCUAAAAACUAUGCUUCUUCUUCAUUUUGCUUACAUGAACUUGUCAAGAUCCUUGACUGCAUUAAGGGAAAAGGUAGGUUGGUUUGGCCAAUCUUUUAUGAUGUUGAUCCUUCUGAUGUGAGGAAGCAGACAGGAUCUUACGGUGAAGCUUUAGCUAUGCUUGGAGAGAGAUUCAAUGAUAAUAACUUGCAAAUAUGGAAGAAUGCUUUGCAACAAGUAGCUAACUUGUCUGGAUGGCAUUUCAAAAUUGGGGAUGGAUAUGAGUACGAGUUUAUUGGAAAGAUUGUUGAACAUGUUUCCAAGAAGAUGAAUCGUGUUGCUUUACCCGUUGCUGACUACCCAGUUGGACUAGAGCCUCAAGUUCUAGAAAUAAAUUCACUUCUUGAUAUCGGGUCCGAUGAUGAGGUAAACAUGAUUGGGAUCCAUGGAAGUGGAGGGAUAGGUAAAACAACACUUGCUCUGGCUGUUUAUAAUCUGAUUGCCGAUCACUUUGAAGCUUUGUGUUUUCUUGAAAAUGUGAGAGAAAAUUCAAAUAAACACGGGUUACAACAUCUCCAAAAGAUUCUUCUUUCAGAAACCCUUGGAGAAAAGAAAAUUAAGUUAACAAGUGUCAAACAAGGAAUUUCAAUAAUAAAGCACAGACUCCAACAAAAAAAGGUUCUUUUGAUUCUAGAUGAUGUUGAUAAAAUAGAACAACUGGAGGCCUUGGUUGGAGGAUUCUAUUGGCUUGGUUCUGGAAGCAGAGUUAUUAUUACAACUAGGGACAAACAUUUGUUGUCAAGUCACGGGGUUAAGAGAACAUAUGAAGUAAAUGUGUUAAACGAGAAAGAUGCUCUUCGGUUGCUUACAUGGAAAGCUUUUAAAACAGAAGUAUUUCAUCCUAGUUAUUUUGAUGUCUUGAAGCGUGCAGUAGGUUAUGCUUCUGGACUUCCAUUGGCUUUGAUAGUUAUUGGUUCCAAUUUAUUUGGAAAGAAUAUACAAGAAUGGGAAUCUGCAUUACAUCGAUAUGAAAUCAUUCCAAAUAAAGAGAUCCAAAAUAUACUCAAAGUAAGUUUUGAUGCUUUGGAGGAAGAUGAGAAAAGUGUUUUUCUUGACAUGGCUUGUAUCUACAUAGGAAAAGAGUAUCAAUUGGCAAAUAUGGAAAAUAUGCUUUAUGCUCAUUUUGAUGCUUGCAUGAAAUAUCAUAUUGGAGUAUUGGUUGAAAAAUCUCUCAUAAAGAUUAGUUGGACAGGUAAGUACAUUGUACAUGACUUGAUUGGGGACAUGGCUAAAGAAAUUGUUAGAUUGGAAUCACCAGACGAACCUGGAAAACGUAGUCGAUUAUGGUUUCACGAAGAUAUAAUUCAAGUUUUAGAAGACAAUUCAGGGACAAGCGCGAUUAAAUCCAUAUACCUGAUGGAGUGUGAUGAUGAGGUAGAAUUGGAUGAAUCGGCCUUCAAGAAUAUGAAAAACCUAAAAACACUUAUUAUCAAAGGUGGCCAUUUCUCCAAAGGACCCAAACAUCUUCCAAAUAGUUUAAGAGUAGUGGAAUGGUGGAAUUAUCCUUCAGAAUAUUUUCCAUAUGAUUUUAAUCCAAAGAAACUUGCCAUAUUCGAGUUACCAAAAAGUAGCUUAAUGUCACUCAAGUUGACUGACUUAAUGAAGAAGUUCUUGAAUAUGAAGAUUUUGAAUUUUGAUGACGCGGAAUUUUUAACAGAAAUACCUGAUACAUCUUCUCUUUUAAAUUUAGAAUUAUUUUCAUUUAAACGUUGUAAGAAUUUAACUACAAUUCACGAAUCGGUUGGGUUCUUGGAAAAACUUAAGGUCUUGAGUGCCCAAGGUUGCCGUAAGCUUAGGAAAUUUCCACCUAUCAAAUUGAUAUCCCUUGAAGAACUCAAUGUUUCAUUUUGCACAAAUCUCGAGAGUUUUCCAGAAAUAUUAGGAAAGAUGGAAAAUAUGAAAAACCUUGUGUUGGAGGAAACUUCCUUUAAAGAAAUGCCAAAUUCAUUUCAAAAUCUCACUCAUCUCCAAACAUUGCAGCUGCGUUGUUGUGGAGUGUUCAAGUUGCCAAGUUGCAUUCUCACGAUGCCAAAACUAGUUGAAAUAAUUGGCUGGGUUUCAGAAGGAUGGCAAUUCCCAAAAUCAGAUGAGGCUGAAGAUAAAGUGAGCUCAAUGGUUCCUUCAAACGUAGAAUCUCUUCGUCUUACAUUCUGCAAUCUCUCAGAUGAAUUUGUUCCAAUAAUUCUCACAUGGUUUGUUAAUGUGAAAGAAUUACACUUAGCCCAUAAUAAUUUCACAAUUCUCCCAGAAUGCAUAAAAGAAUGUCAUUUGUUAAGGGUACUUUGCGUGGAUGAAUGCCAUUAUCUUCAAGAAGUUAGAGGAAUAGCGCCAAACUUGAAAAUAUUGUAUGCACGAGGAUGCAAAUCUUUGACCUGUACAGAAAUGUUUAUGAAUCAGGAAUUGCAUGAAGCUGGAAGUACCAUGUUUUAUUUGCCAAGAUCAAGAAUUCCAGAUUGGUUUGAGCACUGUAGCAGCAAUGGGUCAAGUUUCUUUUGGUUCCGUAACAAGUUCCCUGCUAUAGCACUUUGUCUUGUUCCCAGUUCGAUAUUUGUCGAAUCUACAAUCUAUCCCAUCGUGAUCAUCAAUGGCAAUGAAUGUAAACUUGACUCUAGGGACAGAUUUCCCCAUUUGUCCGUUGAACCAGAUCAUACAUAUAUUUUUGAUCUUCAAAUGAUAAAAUUCGAAGAUAAUUUGGAUGAAGCACUUUUAGAAGAUGAAUGGAACCAUGUGGAGAUUAUGUAUCAAGGUGAAAACAAUGCCCUAGUCCCCAUUGAAAGUGGAAUCCAUGUAUUCAAACAGAAGUGUAUCACAGAUGAUAUUCGAUUCACGGACCCUUGAAGAAUAAGAAAUCAGAAAUCUCCAAGGUAAAUUAUCUUGUUGUGUGUUUUCACUUUAACUAGUUUUAGUUUCCCUAUCAUAUAUGAUUUUUAAUGUUAUUGAUUAUGGUUGGUUGUGUUGUAUCAAAUAUAUGGAAUUGAUGCAUUUUCUGGAGCUGUUGUUAUUGCUUAAAGUAGAGCACCAAGGGGUCAUGUGCUGCUUCUGGUGCUAAAGUUUGUAUGAUUCUAGACCUUCUUGGCGAUUUGGGCUCUGUAACUGGAGUUGAUGCUGCAAGGCAUCGGUUGGCAGUAUGUAUAACAAUUCUGCAGAAAUAUAAAGCCGGCUUUUUGCUGCCGAUGGAACAAUAUUAUUGGUUAUUUUCGGGGGGUUUCGUUCUGAUUUUGAAUCAUGCGAGUCUAGAUUGAAAGAAAAAAUGGAUGUGUUCAAAGAGUGGACAUCUAGAUGACCAUGGAAAGAGAGGAAAAGAACAAAGGAGUGUGGCACUCCACAAGUGGUGUCUAGAAUUAUGCAAGACUGUAUCUGAAAAUGAGACUGAACUUCACUUUGAAUUCAUCUUGCAUAGUUUUUCGCUUUCGUUCACACUUAAAAUUUUAUCAUCUGUUUCUGUUGGGAUUUGAUUCAGGUCCUUGUGGAUGCAGAAUGCACUCAUGAUGGUUCAGUUAAACAUAUUCAGAAGUUCAACAUUGGGGAUGGACUACUCUUCAAUAAAUUUUGGUGUAAUGUAACCCACAUUUAUUAUCUUUUUCUUUUGUAUCUCACCACAGCUGAAUCUUUUUCUUUUAUUGUAACUUAUCUAUGAUGUUUGCUAGCAUAGAAUUGUGGGAGCUGCUAAAAUGGACCGUGGUCCGCAACAGAUCACAUUUUUCAUUCAAUCUCAAUCUCUAUUACACUCUUUCACAAA